GGCAAUCCUGCACCCGAUUUGCAGAGUUCUAAGUACUCUUUAGGAGCUAUCCCUCUUAAUCGUCACCAGGCCUCUUGGAAGAAAACCCUGUCACUGAUGAAGACAUUCAGGCUGGGAGAAGGCAGGAUUUUUCUCAUCCCUGCUCUGGUACCACAAAGAUGAAAACGUAGGAUCCUCGUCCUCAGGGACCGCAAGUUCUCGGUCAUGUGCUGCUGGAAGGAGCCCCCGAGCGCAGUUUGGGUCGCUACCUGGCCCUGCAUCUCCUGGGUGGCAAAUCUUUUUGCUCCAAUAAGCGCCUUUUGUUCUUUAUCAAGCCUGAACCUCUUCUUGGAUUGAGAGAAGGACUCUCGAACGCAAAGUUGGGGCAAGAGGCACAGCCAGACAAGCCAAGGAUUCUGCUCAUGAACGUGAUCAGGGGUGACAAGAUCGUGAAAAAGCCUGUGGUCCUUACGUCAUGGACUCAGGGUCCUUGGGGCCCCUGGGAGACGGCCCCUUCCCUAACAAGCCCAAAGACCCUGCUUUCCUCUCACCUAUGACGGACAGUUAAGGACUGAGGCCUGCUCCACACAGGCCUUCUGACCACAUUCGGGAGCUCUUGCCCUCCUGUCCCUUGGGGAACUUUGACUGCGUCCCGCCCUCCCCCCACCCCAGACCUGUUCUGCAUUAAGCAGGGAGGCACAAGCCAGCACACUGCCCGGCACACAGGAAACGCUUGUAAUGCACUUGGUUAUUAUAUUGGCCACUGCAGGGAGGUCAAUUUCGGCUUAGGAAGACUCUUCCAAGACUCGAAGCCUACAGCGAACUGUGUGGUUUUCGUCCUGCCUUUGCCACCCCCCCACCACCACCCUUUGCGGACCAGCCUAGAAUGGUCCAUAAGCUCCUGCGUCCACGAGCUGUUCCAGGUUCCCACCACCAGGGGGCGCGCGAGAGGGAACAGUUGCUCCCUGGGAGCUACCACUGAGAGGCUCAGAGGUAGGACGGUCCGCUCCGGGAGCAGCGAUAGCAGUAGCACAACCAGCCCCCGGGUCCCGGCUUCUCCACGUGAUCCUCCGAGACACGCUGGCUGCAGCGCUGCACGAGGGAAAGGUUCACUGAAUCCGGCUCAGUGUCUGCUGCCAAAAAGGGUUCAAGACUGAAAUGGCAAGGCCAGGGGACCUCAUCACGCGGCUUCUUUUACUGCUGGUGCUUCCAUCAAGUCCAGUCCUCCCAGGUCAGAUGGUGAAGAUGUGAAUCAGACCCCUCGUGGAGCAAGACUUGCAUCCCGGUUCGUGAGGUGGGACAGCAGAGUGCAGAGUAGGCGGGGACCAGGCCGGCACGGGUCCGGAAGCCAUGGCCUCACGGCAGCAGCCACCCCAGGGAAGAGCAGGCCUGUGUUGACAAAGGACAAGGGGGCUGGCACCGCCUGGGGAGGCGAGGACACCUUUGAGGACGCCUUUGAGGACGCGUGGAAGGGACCCUGCUGCCCGGAGUGACAACCCACAGGAGCCCCUCCCUCUACCAAGGAACCCUCUGAGCAGAAGCAGUUGGAUGUCGUCCGGGGGAAGGUGAGAAGUACACGCAUAGGAAAAGCAGGGAUUCAUUCCAGGAAUCGUUUGUCUUUCCUGGAGGACCACCGCUUGGCUAUGCCCUGGUGCAGGUGAUCUCUAGGUUGUCCUCUGUGCUGACUGCAGAGCACCCGAGAGGGAGACUGGAGCUGAGUGACAGCAUAAA